UCACGGUUAGGAGGUGCUGGGCAUUCCUAGGAGCGCGCUGUCUGAGAGACACCAGCCUGGUGCUAGCAGGACCUUCCAAGUUUUAGGAAGUCAAGGCAGAGAGCAGCUGUCAAGGCUGAGUGGGCAAGAUGGACUGCUUGCCAUCUACCCUAGCCCAGCAUGCCCAUGCCAGGUGCUGUCGCUGCCCUAGUCAUGCCGGGGAAGAGAGGAGGGCAGGUAUCUUCCGGGCGGCCUCUGGAGUCAAACCAAGACUUGAGGUACCCUGGGGAGGCUUGUAGCCACAGCUUGGAAGCGGCAGCACCGAAGCACACAGAUUGAGAACAUCUCAACGUGCACGUCCGACCGAGGAUGGAUUUUGUCCACUUGUCUUCCAAAAGCUAAG